rnacentral:rRNA from 1 species
UACGAAGGGGGCUAGCGUUGCUCGGAAUCACUGGGCGUAAAGCGCACGUAGGCGGAUUGUUAAGUCAGGGGUGAAAUCCUGGAGCUCAACUCCAGAACUGCCUUUGAUACUGACGAUCUCGAGUCCGGGAGAGGUGAGUGGAACUGCGAGUGUAGAGGUGAAAUUCGUAGAUAUUGGGAGGAACACCAGUGGCGAAGGCGGCUCACUGGACCGGUACUGACGCUGAGACGCGAAAGCCAGGGGAGCAAACGGG